GGUCUGGGUGGCUCAGGUGGUUGAGCCGUCACACCAUGUGCAGAGGCUAUAGCCCUUGACAUGGUUGUCCUGGGUUCCAUUCCCGGUCUCGGCCU